rnacentral:rRNA from 1 species
GACGAACGCUGGCGGCGUGCUUAACACAUGCAAGUCGAGCGGUAAGGCCCUUUCGGGGGUACACGAGCGGCGAACGGGUGAGUAACACGUGGGUGACCUGCCCUCAGCUCUGGGAUAAGCCUGGGAAACCGGGUCUAAUACUGGAUAUGACUCCAUGACGCAUGUUGUGGGGUGGAAAGCCUUGUGCGGCUGAGGAUGGGCCCGCGGCCUAUCAGCUUGUUGGUGGGGUGANGGCCUACCAAGGCGACGACGGGUAGCCGGCCUGAGAGGGCGACCGGCCACACUGGGACUGAGACACGGCCCAGACUCCUACGGGAGGCAGCAGUGGGGAAUCUUGCGCAAUGGGCGAAAGCCUGACGCAGCGACG